GCCGUAAACGAUGGGCACUUGGUGUUGGGGGUAUUGACCCCCUGGGUGCCGCAGCUAACGCAUUAAGUGCCCCGCCUGGGGACUGCGGCCGCAAGGUUAAAACUCAAAGGAAUUGACGGGGGCCCGCACAAGCGGUGGAGCAUGUGGUUCAAUUCGACGCAACGCGAAGAACCUUACCGGGGCUCGAACGGUAAUCGCUACUCCUGGAAACAGGGGAUUCUCUUCGGAGACGGUUAUCGAGGUGCUGCAUGGCUGUCGUCAGCUCGUGUCGUGAGACGUU
rnacentral:rRNA from 1 species